ACAUGAUUGCAACAGAUUCAUGAUGACACCUUGUUGAUUCCAGGACCCAACCUGGUUCUAGCAACCGUGGUGCUUGGAAUACUGUUGGCUUGCUGUCUGGUUGUGAUUAUAAUCCUCCUUCUCACCAGAAAUAAAAAGCAAGUUUGUGAGUAUUGCAAAGGAACACUGGGUGCUUCCGACUCUGUCCCACACGACUCAGUGAUUCAGGAUCCACAGGACGGGGAAACUGAUUCCUUGAACUACGCAGCGUUGGAGUUCUCCGGCAGGAAAACCAGAGGAAGAAAGAAGAACAGUGAAAGGACUCAGGAGAGUCUGUAUUCUGCUGUGAGAGAAACCUGCCACUGAAAUCCAUCGACCUGGUCGUAAUAUAGUUGGAAUUCCUCAAUAUUGUAACAUGGAUGUGCAGUAUAUUUCCAAAGGUGUUAAAAGCACAGGCUUAAAAUACGAUGAGAGAAGCUAAGGUAAAUUGUAAGAUUAGGACAAUGCUCGAGUAGCACUGAACUAUAGCGAGAGAUGAUAAGAAGCAACACUUAAAGCACUGUUUUUCAUUAGCUUGUAGUAUUAACUGCCACUUAACACUGGUCAUUAUUAAAGGCUUGAGUUUAUGAAGCUGCACAGAGCAUUCAUAUUUCUCCACCUGAUUGUAGCUGGGGUUCAUUUUGGUUCUAGCCAUAAUGUGUGUGCUUGCCAAAGGUUUUUAUGACGCUGUAAAAAUUUUCAUGUGUUUCAUUAAUUUUCAAAAGUUAUUGGGUACUCUAAAAAUGUUGUUAAUAAAGGAAUUGAAGGAAUUGAUGUAUCCAACUUUCUAUUUUAUAUCUGAUGUGCUGCAGUGAUGGAUCUAUCCACUGGUGUGUGUGUAUUUCUGAGGAGUUGAUAGAGACAAGAAUUGGAACACCAAUUGGAACAAAUUCCAUGAACAAAAAAAGUGACUCCCUCAUUAUACUUUUUUAAAUAUAGAUUUCAUCAGUGUUUAACAUAGAAUGGCUGUAUAAUCACUAAAAUCUGAUUCCAUCAACCAAAAAUGUAUUAUCUAUUAACUAUUAAUUAAUACUUUUGAUAUGGGUAUCAAUAUCAUUUAAAUUAACAUCCUCACCUGACAGUUACUAAAUCUCCACAAUCUAUAUUUAGAUAGAAAAGCAAUGUAAUACAAUUUUUGGUACAUUAUUUCAUAUUUUGUGUCUACAUAACAUGUAAAAACAGUUUAUCCAACAUUUUACCAGAUCAAAUGGCUUCAUUCGAUAUUUCAUAUGUUAACAUUUCGGUUUUUGUAAGUUUUUAGGCAUUAAGGUCUCUGAAACUUAAGUGUUUAAUUGUUGCUAGAAUUUUUAAAGUAAUAUUAGUUGGAAUGGAUAAAGAACGGAUAAAGACGUUAUUAGCUUCAUGCUCUUAAUACCUCGGCUAGAAAAA